AUUGAACGCUGGCGGCAGGCCUAACACAUGCAAGUCGAACGGUAACAGGAAGAAGCUUGCUUCUUUGCUGACGAGUGGCGGACGGGUGAGUAAUGUCUGGGAAACUGCCUGAUGGAGGGGGAUAACUACUGGAAACGGUAGCUAAUACCGCAUAACGUCGCAAGACCAAAGAGGGGGACCUUCGGGCCUCUUGCCAUCGGAUGUGCCCAGAUGGGAUUAGCUAGUAGGUGGGGUAACGGCUCACCUAGGCGACGAUCCCUAGCUGGUCUGAGAGGAUGACCAGCCACACUGGAACUGAGACACGGUCCAGACUCCUACGGGAGGCAGCAGUGGGGAAUAGUGCACAAAGGGCGCAAGCCUGAUGCAGCCAUGCCGCGUGUAUGAAGAAGGCCUUCGGGUUGUAAAGUACUUUCAGCGGGGAGGAAGGGAGUAAAGUUAAUACCUUUGCUCAUUGACGUUACCCGCAGAAGAAGCAGCGGCUAACUCCGUG
rnacentral:rRNA from 1 species